GUAAAGAGCAAUUUUGGACAUCAUGGCCUUUUUUCAUCAGUGAAGAUUACAAACGCGAUAGCGGAAAGAUUUGUGUGGAACAUUUUGCAGAUAAUGACAAAGUUCAAAGAGGUUGCAGGGCUGAAUUCAACUUGCAGCCUUACCGAUCACCUGACGAUGCUCAUUUAGUUUGGCUCGAGCAAGUCUUCUUGAAAUGCUUGUGUGGAUGGAAAGUGGAAACUACCUAUAAUUUUUGCCUUUCUCCGAUUUUGGACAAAUUUAUUCUGAGGCAUUUCGCAUAAAAUUCUUAUUGAUUGUUGGCUGUUUAUAAUUCCUAUUGAUUGUGAAUUCUGAUUAUAACAAAGAGUUAAAAAAAAUUUUACCUAA